UCGGCAGUAGACAGACCCUGUGAAGCGAUGCUACCUGGCCCUUCUGUUCCAGGGCAACAAGGUGCCAUUCCCCACCCCCAGGAGCAGAGCCAGUAACGCCCUGCUCAGGUGUAUGUUGCGUUGUUACAAGAUUUCUCAGGCUUUUGGAGCUGAUGAACCUUGGAUGAAUGAAACAUUCCAUAAUCUGUCCAGACCACCAACAAACAUAACCAGGAGUACAUAAGCUGUGAUCUGCAAGAGCAUUUACACCAAUUACAAAGCCAUUGAGAAAUCAGAGCACAAGAAGCUGUUUAAGGUA